UACGUAGGGGGCAAGCGUUGUCCGGAUUUAUUGGGCGUAAAGAGCUCGUAGGCGGUUUGUCGCGUCUGCCGUGAAAGUCCGGGACUCAACUCCGGAUCUGCGGUGGGUACGGGCAGACUAGAGUGAUGUAGGGGAGACUGGAAUUCCUGGUGUAGCGGUGAAAUGCGCAGAUAUCAGGAGGAACACCGAUGGCGAAGGCAGGUCUCUGGGCAUUAACUGACGCUGAGGAGCGAAAGCAUGGGGAGCGAACAGG
rnacentral:rRNA from 1 species